GCCUGGGAGAGCACAAGAGGAUUGUUCAGUAUUCAGAAUCUAUGCAAACAUGCCAUCAUGGACCUGGCAUACAAUAUUGGUGAACUUCUCUGGGCACCUAAAUUUUCCAUGAUCUUCCAGAAACCCUAAUGACUGAUAGGAUCAAAGGCCUUGGUCAGAUUGACAAAUGUUGUGCUUAGAUCGCUGUUCUGCUAAUGGCAUUUUUCCUGAAGUUUUGGGGCAACCAUUCCUAACCUCUUUCUGAAGUCACACUGAUUCUCAGGUCAAUGGAAGACAGUGAUGAGAAGGUCAUGGGAUGCAUAAUUCUUUAGUGAGUAUGAACUUCUUGAAAGCAAGAACUGUUGCAAAUUUUUCAUCAGGAAACAUCAUCCUCUGUGAUUGCAGCAGUCUUUGUACUCACACUUCAUCAAUAACCGUAGUAUUCUCUGAGGGAAGGGCUAGAAGGAAGAGCAAAGAACUCCCUCCAAAGCCUCCAUUUAAAGAAAAAUGGUCCAAGCCAGCCAUCUGUUCCUUUCCCAUCAACAACCCUCUUUUAGGCUGAACUCCACCCCCCUUUUGAGCUUCCUUUUGAGUGUAAUCAUCCCUGACUGGGAUGAUCCUCCUCAUAAGAAGAGGGAUCACAAUUCCUUUUCCUAUUAAUAUCCCCAUCCUUCAGCAUGGUGCCUGGCACAUUGUAAGCAUUUAAUAAAUGUUUAUCGAUUGACUGACUAAUUAAA